rnacentral:tRNA from 10 species
GGCCACGUAGCUCAGUAGGAUAGAGCCACUGUCUCCUAAACAGUAGGUCGCCAGUUCGAUUCUGGCCGUGGUCA